AUAUCGGACUUUUUAAAGUCUACCAAAACAAUUAUUAAGCAUAAU
rfam:Glossina pallidipes unplaced genomic scaffold Scaffold13, whole genome shotgun sequence.